CUCUGCUGUAGGGGGUUCAGAGCAGUCACCAGGGAGAUCCGCCAGGGGUCGCUGGGCUUUAUUUCCUAGUUGGUGGGUGGUGGUGGAAGAAUCCUUCUGCCUUAUGAGGUUUCCAGCUCUCCCAGAACAGAGCAGAGCAGAGCAGUCUUUCGUCCAGCUCCGCAUGCCCAGCCCCAGCCGGGCACGUGGAUCAAAUGAAUAAACGAAGAGCCACUCGCAUGUGACAGUGAGCUUGGAGCAAAGAGGAAAACCAUUCCUGCGUGAAGCCAGUGACGUGUGAGGAUUGG
rnacentral:lncRNA from 1 species